rnacentral:rRNA from 1 species
UGCCAGACUCCUACGGGAGGCAGCAGUGGGGAAUAUUGCACAAUGGGGGAAACCCUGAUGCAGCGACGCCGCGUGAGUGAAGAAGUAUUUCGGUAUGUAAAGCUCUAUCAGCAGGGAAGAUAAUGACGGUACCUGAGUAAGAAGCCCCGGCUAACUACGUGCCAGCAGCCGCGGUAAUACGUAGGGGGCAAGCGUUAUCCGGAUUUACUGGGUGUAAAGGGAGCGUAGACGGCGAUACAAGUCUGAAGUGAAAGCCCGGGGCUCAACCCCGGGACUGCUUUGGAAACUGUGUUGCUGGAGUGCUGGAGAGGCAAGCGGAAUUCCUAGUGUAGCGGUGAAAUGCAUAGAUAUCACGCAGAACUCCGAUUGCGAAGGCAGCAUACCGGCGCGCAACUGACGCUCAUGCACGAAAGCGUGGGUAUCGAACAGGAUUAGAUACCCCUGUAU